CCCUGCCCAGAGCCUUAAUAUAUUAAAUGGCCGCAGUAUUAUGACUGUGCAAAGGUAGCGUAAUCAUUAGUUUUUUAAUUGAAAGCUUGUAUGAAUGGUUGGACGAGGUAAAUACUGUCUUUAUUUAAUUUACAUUAGAAUUUAACUUUUAAGUGAAAAGGCUUAAAUGAUAUUAAUAGACGAGAAGACCCUAUAGAUCUUUAUAUGUUGAUUUAUUAAUUAUAUUAGGAUUAUUUAUAGAUUAAUAAUUUAAUUUAUUUUAUUGGGGUAAUAUAAAGAUUAAAUUAAUUCUUUGAAAAUUUAAACAAUAAUAAAUGAAUAAUUGAUCCAUUAAUAUUGAUUAUAAGAUUAAGUUACCUUAGGGAUAACAGCGUAAUUUUUUUAGAGAGUUCAUAUCGAUAAAAAAGUUUGCGACCUCGAUGUUGGAUUAAAAAUUAUUUCGGGUGCAGAAGUUCGAAAAUUUGGUCUGUUCGACCAUUAAAUUUUUACAUGAUCUGAGUUCAGACCGGCGUAAGCCAGGUCGGUUUCUAUCUUUAGUUUAAAUAAAAUAUUUCAGUACGAAAGGACCAAAUAUUUGAUAUAAUUUAUUUAAUUUUUGAAUAUUAGUAUUACUUUGGCAGAAUAGUGCAAUGAAUUUAGAAUUCAUUAAUGUAAUUUAAUAUUACAGGUAAUACUUGUUUAUAGGUGAUUUGAUCCUUAUAGUAGUGUGCAUAUUAUUAUUGGUAAUUUGUGUAUUGGUGGGGAGU
rnacentral:rRNA from 1 species